AAUGAAUCACCUCGUGAAGCUUCUUUUCUGUCCUAGACCAGUUAGAAAAAGUGCGCGUUGCUUUAAAACAAAAUUAUAAAAUAAAAAUUGGCUGUUAAAAUCAAGUGAUAAGACAAACGGAGAUAAAAUCAAUAAUUUACGUGCUAUUAGUACGCUAAUUGAUGAGAAGAAAAAAAAAACAAGUGUAAAAUAGUACAGAGAAUCAAAUAAGAAAAGGU